rnacentral:rRNA from 1 species
UGGGGAAUAUUGCACAAUGGGGGAAACCCUGAUGCAGCGACGCCGCGUGAACGAAGAAGGUAUUCGUAUCGUAAAGUUCUGUCCUAUGGGAAGAUAAUGACAGUACCAUAGAAGAAAGCUCCGGCUAAAUACGUGCCAGCAGCCGCGGUAAUACGUAUGGAGAGAGCGUAUUCCGGAAUUAUUGGGCGAAAAGGGUACGCAGGCGGUUUAAUAAGUCGAAUGGUAAAGAUCGGGGCUCAACCCCGCAAAGCAUUGGAAACUGAUAAACUUGAGUAGUGUAGAGAAAAGUGGAAUUCCUAGUGUAGUGGUGAAAUACGUAGAUAUUAGGAGGAAUACCAGUAGCGAAGGCGACUUUCUGGACACAAACUGACGCUGAGGUACGAAAGCGUGGGGAGCAAACAGG